rnacentral:tRNA from 1 species
ACCACUAGCACCACUGACAGAGCAUCUGCCUUCUAAGCAGUCGGUCGAUGGUUCGAAUCCAUCAGGGGCG